AUUCUCAAACUUUUGUCAUUUCACUUCUCUCAAAACCACUUUAGUGGACCUGUUCUCUGUAAGGUCACUACUGCCCUCCACUUCAAAUUCCAUUGUCUCCUCAAGUCCUCAACUUAGUCAUUUGACUAAUGUUAUUAUUUCCUUCUUCUUGAAACACUUUUCUUCCUUCUGGGAUCCUCUGCUCUCCUAGUACUUCUCCUACCUUCCUGGGUGCUCUCUGCACUCCUAAUAACCAAGCAGCUCACUUUUCCCUGGAGGCCCGCCAUUGUUCCUGGUCACUACACCUAGACUUUGAGAAGAAACCAGAAAUGGAUAACCUGGAUAUGUUCUCGUGGCAAACACAGAAGUAAGUGAAAACACUCAAGGCCUUUUGAGACCUGGACCUGGAACUGGCCCACCAUCACUUCCACCACAUUCUAUUGCCCAAAACAAGUUACAGGGCCAGCCCAGAUUCAAAGGAAAGGAAAAUAGACUCUGGCUCUUCAGUGGAUGAAAUUCCAAGGUCACCUGGUAAAGGAAGAGGUGAAGAAGUAAGGUCAUUAAUGUAAUCUUUCAUACUGUAACACUUGCUUUUUGACUUAGAAGGUUGAGUGUGUUUUGUAUGUCAAUCACACCUCAGUAAAACGGUUUUU
rnacentral:lncRNA from 1 species